rnacentral:lncRNA from 13 species
UUGCUGAGUGCCUGCCUCUCAGGAUCCUUGUGGAGGUUACAAUGCAUCUGAACUUGCAAAACAGAUUGGAAAUUCAAGAUUAUCAAUAAUC